UUGCAAUAGGGAUAGAAGUGGAAAUCCUUUUUCGCGGUCUCGUUUCAAACGAGACCGCGAAAAAGAUUGCAACGGAUAGCCCGACCCGAG
rnacentral:sRNA from 1 species